rnacentral:tRNA from 1 species
GCCGAAGUGGCGGAAUCGGCAGACGCGGCGGACUCAAAAUCCGUUGAGGGCAACCUCGUGUGGGUUCAAGUCCCACCUUCGGCACCA